rnacentral:lncRNA from 10 species
AUUGCCUGAGGUCAGGAGUUUGAGACCAGUCUGGCCAACAUGGUGAAACCCUGUCUCUACUAAAAAUACAAAAAAAUAAGCCGGGUAUGGUGGCAUGUGACUGUAAUCCCAGCUACCUGAAAGGCUGAGGCAGGAGAACUGCUUGAACCAGGGAGGUGGAAGUUGCAGUGAGCCGAGAUCACACCACUGUAUUCCCGCCUGGGUGACAGAGGGAGACUCCAUCUCAAAAAACAAACAAACAAACAAACAAACAAAAAACAAACAAGCAAA